CGGUAGCCGCGGUAAUACGAAGGGUGCAAGCGUUACUCGGAAUUACUGGGCGUAAAGCGUGUGUAGGUGGUUGUUUAAGUCUGUCGUGAAAGCCCUGGGCUCAACCUGGGAAUUGCGAUGGAUACUGGGCGACUAGAGUGCGGUAGAGGAUAGUGGAAUUUCCGGUGUAGCAGUGAAAUGCGUAGAGAUCGGAAGGAACAUCUGUGGCGAAGGCGACUAUCUGGGCCGACACUGACACUGAGAGACGAAAGCUAGGGGAGCAAAUGGGAUUAGAUACCCCAGUAGUCCCUGUCUCUUAUAC
rnacentral:rRNA from 1 species